rnacentral:rRNA from 1 species
UACGUAGGUGGCAAGCGUUGUCCGGAUUUACUGGGCGUAAAGAGCGCGCAGGCGGUCGUUCAAGUCGCGUGUGAAAGCCCCCGGCUCAACUGGGGAGGGUCACGCGAUACUGAUCGACUCGAAGGCAGGAGAGGGUAGUGGAAUUCCCGGUGUAGUGGUGAAAUGCGUAGAUAUCGGGAGGAACACCAAUGGCGAAGGCAGCUCACUGGGACGGUAUUGACGCUGAGACGCGAAAGCGUGGGGAGCAAACAGGAUUAAGAA